rnacentral:rRNA from 1 species
UCGUGUCGUGAGAUGUCGGUUAAGUCCGCUAACGAGCGCAACCCUCGCUGUGUGUUAUAUGUGUCACACGGGACUGCCGGUCUUAAGCCGGAGGAAGGUGGGAUGAUGUCAAGUCAGCAUGGCCUUUAUAUCCUGGGCUACACACACGCUACAAUGGCCAACACAAUAGGUUGCUAAGCCGCGAGGUGGCGCCAAUCCAUAAAGUUGGUCUCAGUUCAGAUUGUAGGCUGCAACCCGCCUGCAUGAAGAUGGAGUUGCUAGUAACCGCAGGUCAGCUAUACUGCGGUGAAUACGUUCCCGGGCUU